ensembl:lincRNA 4930455B14Rik RIKEN cDNA 4930455B14 gene
AACUGAGGGGCUUGUCCACCUGUAACAGCUGGUAACUCACCAGCCCAAAAGGUGUAGGGUUCCUUAAGCCAGGGUCUCACUCGGAUCUUGUAUCUUCACAUCGCCUCUAAGUAGUAACUCUGGUAACUGCUGUUUGUUCAGAAAGUUGGAAAUACAAAACGAAGGAGUCAGCGGGGCUGCAUUCCUUCUGGAGACCUGAGGAGAAUCCUUUUGAUGAAUGCUAGCUAUAUGCAAAAUCUUGGAUUUGCGUAUGACUUCAAGAACAUCUACCAGCACUGUAUGAGAGAGAAAAAGCCAGCCUCCUCCAAUAACUUGGCUUAAACAAGCUAUUUAUUGUACUCAGCAUCUUUCAGCACUAGGAGAGCUAACCAGUAUAGAAGAAGUCUCUGGGAAAUUUGAUUUUUCCAUAUUCUAUAACUCAAGUAUGUGCUGUCUUCAGAGAUAAGGUCUCACUGGAAAGUUCUGAAGAGUUACUGAGAGAAGUGACAAUGGCUCAUAAUAUUUAGAGGUUUGGGAGGCCUCACUGCUCAGAAGCUCCAAAAGAAGUAACCCAUCCUGGACUGGGGGUUUUAUUUGUAAGGGUUUCCUGUAUUUUAGUGACUAAAAUCUAAGUUGCAUGGCAAAAGCUGAUGUCAUGGGCAGGAAUGACACUUGUUUCACAUGGAAAAGCACUAAAUAUAUUCAACAAUAAUAUAACCUGUCACUCUCUUAUUAUAACACUACCUUUUACAUUAUUCUCUUUGCUAUGUAAAAUAUUCUCUACUCAUAAAACUAAAAAAUGGGAGGGAACAAAUAUCUAAUAAACAUUUGAAGAGUGACAAAUG